rnacentral:rRNA from 1 species
CCAAUAGCGUAUAUUAAAGUUGCUGCAGUUAAAAAGCUCGUAGUUGAACUUCGGGAUCAAUAUGUUGGUCGUGCCUUGGUACGUACUAGCUUAUUGAUUUCUCCUUUCUGACGAACCAUGAUGUCAUUAAUUUGGUGUCAUGGGGAAUCAGGACUGUUACUUUGAAAAACUUAGAGUGUUUAAAGCAGGCUCGCGCUUGAAUACAUUAGCAUGGAAUAAUGAAAUAGGACAUUUGAUUCUAUUUUGUUGGUUUCUAGGAUCGAUGUAAUGAUUAAUAGGGAUAGUUGGGGGCAUUAGUAUUCAACUGUCAGAGGUGAAAUUCUUGGAUUUAUUGAAGACUAACUACUGCGAAAGCAUUUGCCAAGGAUGUUUUCAUUAAUCAAGAACGAAAGUUAGGGGAUCGAAGACGAUCAGAUACCGUCGUAGUCUUAACCAUAAACUAUGCCGACUAGGGAUCGGAUGAUGUUAAUUUUUUAAUGACUCAUUCGGCGCCUUACG